GGUUCGAUUCGAGCGAAAGCGAGAAAGCGUUGCCGCAGGCAACGACCCGAAGGGCGAAGCGCGCAGCGCUGAGUAAUCCUUCCCCCACCACCA
rnacentral:sRNA from 1 species